rnacentral:rRNA from 1 species
UACGUAGGGGGCAAGCGUUGUCCGGAAUUAUUGGGCGUAAAGAGCGCGUAGGCGGUCCGAUAAGUCGGCUGUGAAAGUCCAGGGCUCAACCCUGGAAAGCCGGCCGAUACUGUCGGACUAGAGUCCGGAAGAGGCAAGUGGAAUUCCCGGUGUAGCGGUGAAAUGCGCAGAUAUCGGGAGGAACACCAAUUGCGAAGGCAGCUUGCUGGGACGGUACUGACGCUGGGGCGCGAAAGCGUGGGGAGCAAACAGG